rnacentral:rRNA from 1 species
GACAGAGGGGGCAAGCGUUGCUCGGAAUUACUGGGCGUAAAGGGCGCGUAGGCGGGAUGGCAAGUCGGUCGUGAAAUCCCUCGGCUCAACUGAGGAUCGUCGAUCGAUACUGCCGUUCUUGAGGAUUGCAGAGGAGACUGGAAUUCCCGGUGUAGUGGUGAAAUGCGUAGAGAUCGGGAGGAACACCUGUGGCGAAGGCGGCCGACUGGGCCGACCCUGACGCUGAGGCGCGAAGGCGUGGGGAGCGAACGGG